rnacentral:rRNA from 1 species
GACGAACCGUGCGAACGUUGUUCGGAAUCACUGGGCUUAAAGGGCGCGUAGGCGGGCGAUUAUGUCCGAGGUGAAAGCCUCCCGCUCAACGGGAGAAGGGCCUUGGAAACUGGUCGUCUUGAGGGAGGUAGGGGCGGCGGAACUUCCGGUGGAGCGGUGAAAUGCGUAGAGAUCGGAAAGAACACCAACGGCGAAAGCACAUCUGCUGGGCCGACACUGACACUGAGAGACGAAGCUAGGGGAGC